CAGCCGCCGCGGUAAUACGUAGGUGGCAAGCGUUGUCCGGAAUUAUUGGGCGUAAAGCGCGCGCAGGCGGAUAGGUCAGUCUGUCUUAAAAGUUCGGGGCUCAACCCCGUGAUGGGAUGGAAACUGCCAAUCUAGAGUAUCGGAGAGGAAAGUGGAAUUCCUAGUGUAGCGGUGAAAUGCGUAGAUAUUAGGAAGAACACCAGUGGCGAAGGCGACUUUCUGGACGAAAACUGACGCUGAGGCGCGAAAGCCAGGGGAGCGAACGGGAUUAGAGACCCCCGUAGUCCCUGUCUCUUAUACA
rnacentral:rRNA from 1 species